rnacentral:rRNA from 1 species
UACAGAGGGUGCGAGCGUUAAUCGGAAUUACUGGGCGUAAAGGGUGCGUAGGUUGUUGUUUAAGUUAGAUGUGAAAUCCCUAGGCUUAACCUGGGAAUGGCGUUUAAAACUGAAUAACUAGAGUACUGCAGAGGUUAGUGGAAUUUCCAGUGUAGCGGUGAAAUGCGUAGAUAUUGGAAGGAACACCAGUGGCGAAGGCGACUAACUGGGCAGCUACUGACACUGAGGCACGAAAGCGUGGGGAGCAAACAGG